rnacentral:rRNA from 1 species
GUGUCAGCAGCCGCGGUAAUACGUAGGGUGCGAGCGUUGUCCGGAAUUAUUGGGCGUAAAGGGCUCGUAGGCGGUUUGUCGCGUCGGGAGUGAAAACACGGGGCUUAACCCCGUGCCUGCUUCCGAUACGGGCAGACUAGAGGUAUGCAGGGGAGAACGGAAUUCCUGGUGUAGCGGUGAAAUGCGCAGAUAUCAGGAGGAACACCGGUGGCGAAGGCGGUUCUCUGGGCAUUACCUGACGCUGAGGAGCGAAAGUGUGGGGAGCGAACAGGAUUAGAUACCCUGGUAGUCCACACCGUAAACGUUGGGCGCUAGGUGUGGGACUCAUUCCACGAGUUCCGUGCCGCAGCUAACGCAUUAAGCGCCCCGCCUGGGGAGUACGGCCGCAAGGCUAAA